UACAGAGGUCCCGAGCGUUGUUCGGAUUCACUGGGCGUAAAGGGUGCGCAGGUGGGUUUGCAAGUUCGAUGUGAAAGCCCCGGGCUUAACCCGGGAAUGGCAUUGGAUACUGCAGAUCUGGAGGAUCGGAGGGGGGACUGGAAGUUCUUGGUGUAGCAGUGAAAUGCGUAGAUAUCAAGAGGAACACCAGUGGCGAAGGCGAGUCCCCUGGACGAUACCUGACACUGAGGCACGAAAGCUAGGGGAGCAAACAGG
rnacentral:rRNA from 1 species